UACAAAAGAAAAAUAGCAUUACUAUGGUAAGACAAGCAAGUGUCGUCAUCGUGUUUGUCGCUGUCAUUGCUGUUGUCAUCAUGACAGUAUCAAACGAAGAAUUUCUCCGGAGUGCUUAAAAGAUUUUUCAGUUUCCUCAAGGCAAUGGUUCUUCUCCUCCCUACUCCAGCUCUGGUAUAAGAACAAAUAGUAAUCAACAUUGUGUUUAGUAUAGCUUUAUCGAAAAAAAUGGUUUGGUAGAACGGAAAUUACAAAAGGACAUUCUAGGAAGGAAGAGAGUGACUUACUUCGGCGACUUUGUUCAGCUUCUCCCUUACGUUCUGCAAUAUUUGGGAAAGGUCACCGUCCCAUUUAUAAAAUUCCAACUCCUUGUUGUCGAGUAUCUUUUCUGCUACCUGAAGUAGAUGAACGUAGAAGUGUGUGAGACCAAGUCAAAUUAUAGUUGCAAGGGAAGAACUAACACAGCUUGAAGACAGGAAAGGAUUACGUGGAAACGUAGAUUAUAUGAUAGUUAUGUACAUGACUGUGAAAUUCCAACAAAUAUAACGUUUUGACACUUUUAAAUAGUUCGUUGCAACUUUAGGACAAGUAACAAUAGCCAGCUGAAUUAUGCUCAAAACAAAUACUUUCAAUCUUUAUAUGGUAGAUUAUACAAUAGUUCUGUGUAGGGAGCACAUCAUAACUAAAAAUCGUUCACUUUAAGUCUUUUACUAUCAACUCAUGGCAGUCAACUCAAAACCAAUCAUGUAACAAGAAGAACGAAUAUGAACAUAUGGUGAAUGUGAAUAUGCAUACAUAUAUAUACAAAGCUCAGAAAGAGAUUUUCAAGAAAAUGUUUGUUUACCUUUCGCCCAAUCAUUCUACCACCAGCAGUGUGGGCAAAGUAUAUAUUGUAAAAAUGGCAAAUAAAUGCUUGAGGAUCCUUUUCCGACAGCUCUUCGAGAUAACGAGCAUAGGUGACUCCAGGAGAAGAAGGUUCUGGAAUGGCAUAGCCUUGUUCUUUGAACCACUCCAAAUCUUUUGCCAAUGGUUCAGACCUUUCCAAUC
rnacentral:lncRNA from 1 species